rnacentral:rRNA from 1 species
UACGUAGGGCGCGAGCGUUGUCCGGAAUCAUUGGGCGUAAAGAGCGUGUAGGCGGCCAAACAGGUCCGUUGUGAAAACUGGAGGCUCAACCUCCAGACGUCGACGGAAACCGUGUGGCUAGAGUCCGGAAGAGGAGAGUGGAAUUCCUGGUGUAGCGGUGAAAUGCGCAGAUAUCAGGAAGAACACCAAUGGCGAAGGCAGCUCUCUGGGACGGUACUGACGCUGAGACGCGAAAGCGUGGGGAGCGAACAGG